rnacentral:rRNA from 1 species
GACGAACGCUGGCGGCGUGCUUAACACAUGCAAGUCGAACGGAAAGGCCCUGCUUUUGUGGGGUGCCCGAGUGGCGAACGGGUGAGUAACACGUGAGUAACCUGCCCUUGACUUUGGGAUAACUUCAGGAAACUGGGGCUAAUACCGGAUAGGAGCUCCUGCUGCAGGGUGGGGGUUGGAAAGUUUCGGCGGUUGGGGAUGGACUCGCGGCUUAUCAGCUUGUUGGUGGGGUAGUGGCUUACCAAGGAUUUGACGGGUAGCCGGCCUGAGAGGGUGACCGGCCACAAUGGGACUGAGGUACGGCGCAGACUGCUACGGGAGGCAGCAGUGGGGAAUAUUGCACAAUGGGCGGGAGCGUGAUGCAGCGGCGCCGGGGGCGGGAUGACGGCCUUCGGGUUGUGAACCGCUUUCGCCUGUGACGAAGCGGGAGUGACGGUAAUGGAUAAAGAAGCACCGGCUAACUACGUG